rnacentral:misc_RNA from 1 species
AAGUCGUAACAAGGUUUCCGUAGGUGAACCUGCGGAAGGAUCAUUAUUGAUUUUUAAAGAUGUGCUGGCACUCCUUCACUGGUUUGCAUGUGCACUCUACAAAAUCUCCUUCUCUUACCCCACUGUGCACACUCAAGUAGACAAACAGAGUUGCAGAGCAAUCUGUGUAAUUCCUGAUUUGUCUAUGUUUUUAUCAAACACCAAUAACAAUUUCAGAAUGAUCUAUAGUAAGCUUUUGACAAGCUGAAAUCUAAUACAACUUUCAACAAUGGAUCUCUUGGUUCUC